rnacentral:rRNA from 1 species
CCAGACUCCUACGGGAGGCAGCAGUGAGGAAUAUUGGUCAAUGGGCGGGAGCCUGAACCAGCCAAGUCGCGUGAGGGAUGACGGCCCUAUGGGUUGUAAACCUCUUUUGCCGGGGAGCAAAGUGCCGCACGUGUGCGGUUUGGAGAGUACCCGGAGAAAAAGCAUCGGCUAACUCCGUGCCAGCAGCCGCGGUAAUACGGGGGGUGCAAGCGUUGUCCGGAAUCAUUGGGCGUAAAGCGUUCGUAGGCGGUAAAGUAAGUCAGAUGUUAAAGCCCGGGGCUCAACUCCGGUUCGGCAUUUGAUACUACUUGACUAGAAUGCGGUAGAGGUAAAGGGAAUUCCUGGUGUAGCGGUGAAAUGCGUAGAUAUCAGGAGGAACAUCGGUGGCGAAAGCGCUUUACUGGGCCGUUAUUGACGCUGAGGAACGAAAGCCAGGGUAGCAAACGGGAUUAGAUACCCCAGUA